GAUAGAGAAACAGGGGCUGGAGGGGCAAGGCCAACUGCUGGGGCUGCACAGCAGGUCAGGGUCUGCUGCUUUCCACCCAGGCUCGGCUGGUGGCAAGAAGUGACGUCUACGCCCCUCCGCAUUCUAAACCACUGGCAAUGAGAGCGGGGUCCCAUUUGCCGGUGCUGUUGUCAGGUCAGGGUACAUAGGACUGACCCUUUUCCAAAUAUUCCAAACAAAACAAAGAAAGGAACGAAAUGCUCUCUGUGAAGACAAAGCUUCACUUGCGGUUCUCAUCCGUUUCUUUCUUCA
rnacentral:lncRNA from 10 species